rnacentral:sRNA from 1 species
CGCCUGUUUAUUCGGAGUUACUUCGUC